AGAGGCAGCUAUCAGAGGCAGUGGGAAACUUGAAAUUGGUAGUUGAGAAAAUACACACCUACAAGUGACUUCAGUGACUGCACACCAACCUCUUGGGAAACCUCUGUUGGAGUGUUUUGUUUUUAACUUUUGUACAAUGUUUGGACCCAAUUAACACAGAAAGACAACCAAAUGGUCAGAGGACAUAUUUGCAGAGAGAGAGAGAAUUCACGCAAGAAAAAACAAAGUACUUUAAGAUUUACCAGUGACCAAAAACUAUGACUCGACUGCUGGGCAGACUGUGUGGAAACUCGGUUCACACAAACUUUUCUAGGGAUGGUCGUCAUCAUCCUUAGGAAAGUGAAUUCUGGUGGCAUCAAUCACAUCCUUAAAAAGGACUGUGCCUGUUUAUAAGCCCAGUUGUUCCUGCCCUGUGAAAUAUGGUAAGGAUAUUAGUACAAGGAGAAUAGAGAUUUAUGAUAAGUGAUGUUCAAUGAAGGAUGAUUUAAGGACAUACUAAGAGUAGGUAAGGAAAUUGUCAACUUAGAACCCAGCAGGCAUUAAAUAAUAGAUGAGGAAUCAAUAUAGCAACAGUUUUUUUUUAAUCAUACUGUACUUUUAUAACCAUGUGAAAUGUGUUUUCUAUCUAUGGAUAUGUUGCGUAAGGGUACAGAUGUGAGGGUAACCAGAACAUGGCAGAUUAUUUAAAAUCAUCCUGAAAAUGGCACUUUACCUGAUAAAAGUGAUUCUAAACCAUAGAAAAAUGAUGGAAGACACAGAAGAGCAGCAGAGGUAGGUAGAGAACUACUGCAGGUGCCAGGUAAGGAGCCUUCUUCCCAGCAGUUGCAGAAUCCUUCAGCACUGAUGCAAAUAAUAUCGUGGUCCUUAGACUCCUUAAACAUACGGUUUCUCAUGUGUUGGCUUUUUCAGAUCACCACUUCUGAAAGAAAGGCUCAUGACAACUGGGUAAGCUUUUUUUUUUCUUUCCUUGCUUUUGGGCAUAGUCUGCCAGGUCAGGACGUGGAUGUAUUUUUCUCCCCACAGCUCUGUGUUUAAGCCUUGCAGAGGGAGAUGGAAGAGAAGGCUGCCUACGAGCAGCACAGACAGGAAAUGAUUGAAAAACAGAGUGCUGGAGAGACACAUUAGUCAGGAGCCAGCUAGUGGACGACCAGGCCUAGAGAAUCCUCCCUGGAGAGCCCUUUCCCAGUUCCCCUGCAGGACUUCAGGAAUUCACAUCUCUCCAGAGAUCUUUGUGCCCAUGGGUUGUACCUCCAGAGUGGAGAAGACCCUUUGUUAGGAAGGGAGGCAGAGGGGGACAAGAGGGUCUUACAGGUUGAGCUGGGAUCAAUUUCCACUCC